AUGAGUCUGACUCACAACUGGAGACCUUUUCUCACCAUGAUGGCCAGUGCAAAGGCAAGGGCACUCCCAGCCCACACACUGCAUUCGUGCAGUCUCUCAGGUACUUGUUUCACCUGUUUCACAUACUUUAAAAUAAGUGACUGUACCUCACUUCUUAAAUUCCAAGGUACUUCAGUUCCAGGCCUGCCAGCCAGGCUGGAUGAUACUGUCCCUUCUGCUGACAGGAGCACAAAGCGGGGAGCCUACGAGACACACUCAUUGAGCCACAGGCCUGUCACAGGCAGGCUCUGGUGGAAGCAGAUCUGUGAAGUUAGAACUUUCUCAGCUAUGCCUAUUCAUGCUGCAAGCUAUGUAAGUAGACAACGCAUCUCACAACAGGAGACAGACUUUGAAUGGAGGAGAGAAGGGAUUUCCAAAGCAGGCAAGACUAUUGCAGGUAAUAGACACUGUCAUGUCUCAUUAUACAGGUAGGUCUACAAAAUCUUCUCCAACCAGAAGAGGGAGAGUAUCUGUGGUUUGCAACCUCUGGACCAACAAUUCAUUAUGAAUCACUUUGGGUGGGCUGAACUUGCAUUCAAUCAUUUCAAAACCUAUGCAGAGGUUAUGGGUAGCACCAUUAUGCACAGUCAAAUAGCUUUGGCUCUCUAUGGUUCGCAGGUUUUCCAGCAGUCACAAACCCCCACCCUCCACAAGCUCUUUAUAGUUGGGCAUGAAGAUGGAAAUGCAAUUGUUAUAUAAUGGAGGGUGGUGCUUGAUGCUAUCAGGGCUUUUAAUAUUAGUCUCAUGGCUGCAGGGUCUGAGCACUUCCAGCUCCAGUUUGGUGCUGGCAUAAUCCAACCGUCUGAUAAAGAGACCUGCAGGCAAAGUUGUGGUUAUGAAACCUGAGAUGAGCAGAUCUUCUAUCUGUAUAAUGAGCUAAUUAAAAAUUAAUUUAAACAUAGUCUGUAUAAAGUGCUGAAGCAUAUGAUGUGGGGUAUAAUCCUAUGCUGGAUUUGACAAUCCACAACUGCUACUGUAUAUUCAGUGUCUACGGACAAAAUUACAUGCUCCUUCUGCCAGACUUCUUGAAAAUUUUGCCUGAGAACUUGAGGAUCUGACUCAAGGAUGCAGACUGAAUGGUUAGUUCAUGUGAUGAUGUGCAGAGAUAAGAGCUCAAAUCUAAAGGUCGUUUGGCUGCAUUUGCACAAUCAUGCUGCUCUUGGACUGAGAGAUGUUCUCCAAAGUGAUCAUAGAUACAUCUGCUGUCCUUCCCCGCCAUUCCUGGUUCCAGACUGUUCAUGCUGAGCCAGCUUGGGUCCCUCAGCACUUACACCGUUGAUAUACCCCUGAGGUAUUUUGUCUGCAAGGCAUGGAGGCCUCUGGGAGCCAUGUGGAAAGCUAAAGGCAAGCUCAUAUUGCAUUCCUCUGCCAGCAAGUCUCAGUCGUGGCACAGACAUAGAUGAGGUGUCUGGAGCAAUGAAAGCAGAAAUCACUGUGGUAGGUGUGCACUGAGGAAGUCAUGCAAGUGCUGUUUGGACAGCCACCUACCACAAGGCACAAUUGAGCCCUGCCCCAAAUUAGGUGCUAAUUUUCUACUGCAGAGACAUACAGACUAGUGAAUUCUCCUAUCUCUGGCCCUAUAGCAGCCAGGCCAAAGCUAUGACAUGAUUUUAUGGCACUGCUUGAAGAACAAACUAGAGGUGUUCCCUUGCUCGUCUAUUUCUUAACAAGAUAUUGAAAUAGCCUAGAUUAAACACAUACAGCAAUGGACUUGUGUUUUGGUUCGAGUGAGGACAACUCGGUGGUUGCCUUUGGCUUGGAGACUGAAAGCGAUAUGAGUUCAGCUAUAUGAAGUAAGAUAGGAAUAAAAGGAUUGCUUCUGAAUAUACUUAAUGUGAU
rnacentral:lncRNA from 1 species